rnacentral:tRNA from 2 species
GCGAGAGUGGCGGAACUGGCAGACGCGCACGUUUGAGGGGCGUGUGGAUUUACCGUACGGGUUCAAGUCCCGUUUCUCGCACCA